rnacentral:rRNA from 1 species
CGAGGAUUCCCAUAGUAACGGCGAGUGAAAUGGGAAAAGCCCAGCGCUGAAUCCAUCGAUCACUGGUCGCUUGGAAUUGUAGCGUAUAGGUGCGGCUGUCCGCUCGUUUCGUGCACCCAAAGUCCCCUUGAGCGGGGCCAUAGUCCAAAGAAGGUGCUAGACCUGUACGGGUGGCGAGACGGUCGGUUGGUCGCUCCUUGGAGUCGGGUUGCCUGGGAUCGCAGCCCAAAGUUGGUGGUAGACCUCAUCUAAGGCUAAAUAUGGCCACGAAACCGAUAGCAAACAAGUACCGUGAGGGAAAGUUGCAAAGAACUUUGAAGAGAGAGUUCAAGAGGGCGUGAAACCGCCGAGAUUGAAACGGAUAGAGUUGACGAAACUCGAUCGCAUUCAUCCGAUCCGCCUAGCGGUUCGGCGGUUGUUGACUUCCUCGAUGAGGGCAACGCCGUCGCUGGCUGUUGGGUGUUAGAUGGGUGUAUUUGCGGUCGGUAUGCGCCGAGAGCUUUGCGAACGCAUGUUGGCGUUGAUGUAGUGGACCACUCCCUCCGGGCGUGGAACCCUGCACUGACUGAGGCAUGUCGUUUGUAGGGUGUUGCUGGUUGACGUCUCCGCUAUGGUGCGUCGGCUUUGUCGGACUGUUGUGGCUACUGGGUGAUCGCAUGCGAGCGCCUGUGGUUUAUGAUCGUACGAUGAGGUGCAGACGCGCUUGAGACGUGCAUCUCGGUGUGAACGUUGACCACCUA